rnacentral:rRNA from 1 species
GAUGAACGCUGGCGGCGUGCUUAACACAUGCAAGUCGAACGGAAAGGCCCAAGCUUGCUUGGGUACUCGAGUGGCGAACGGGUGAGUAACACGUGGGUGAUCUGCCCUGCACUUCGGGAUAAGCCUGGGAAACUGGGUCUAAUACCGGAUAGGACCACAUUUUGGAUGGUGUGGUGGAAAGUUUUUCGGUGUGGGAUGAGCUCGCGGCCUAUCAGCUUGUUGGUGGGGUAAUGGCCUACCAAGGCGUCGACGGGUAGCCGGCCUGAGAGGGUGUACGGCCACAUUGGGACUGAGAUACGGCCCAGACUCCUUCGGGAGGCAGCAGUGGGGAAUAUUGCACAAUGGGCGCAAGCCUGAUGCAGCGACGCCGCGUGGGGGAUGACGGCCUUCGGGUUGUAAACUCCUUUCGCUAGGGACGAAGCGUUAUGUGACGGUACCUGGAGAAGAAGCACCGGCUAACUACGUG